GGUAUAUAGCUCAGUUGAUAGAGUGCUUGCCUUGCAUGCACAAGGCCCUGGGUUCAAUCCCCAGCACCA
rnacentral:tRNA from 1 species